rnacentral:rRNA from 1 species
UACGAAGGGGGCUAGCGUUGUUCGGAAUCACUGGGCGUAAAGCGCAUGUAGGCGGCUAUUCAAGUCGGGGGUGAAAUCCUGAGGCUCAACCUCAGAACUGCCUUCGAUACUGUUUAGCUGGAGUAUGGAAGAGGUAGGUGGAACUGCGAGUGUAGAGGUGAAAUUCGUAGAUAUUCGCAAGAACACCAGUGGCGAAGGCGGCCUACUGGUCCAUCACUGACGCUGAGAUGCGAAAGCGUGGGGAGCAAACAGG